rnacentral:rRNA from 1 species
GUGGGGAAUUUUGGACAAUGGGCGCAAGCCUGAUCCAGCGACGCCGCGUGGAGGACGAAGGCCUUCGGGUUGUAAACUCCUUUUGGAGGGGAAGAAUAAAUUGACGGUACCCUCAGAAAAAGCCACGGCUAACUACGUGCCAGCAGCCGCGGUAAUACGUAGGUGGCGAGCGUUACUCGGAAUUACUAGGCGUAAAGCGUAUGUAGGUGGUUAGAUAAGUCUAUGGUGAAAUUUCCUGGCUUAACUGGGAAGGGACAUAGAUACUAUCUGGCUUGAGUGUGGGAGGGGGAGACGGAAUUCCUGGUGUAGCGGUGAAAUGCGUAGAUAUCAGGAGGAACACCGAUGGCGAAAGCAGUCUCCUGGCCCAAUACUGACACUGAGGUACGAAAGCUAGGGUAGCAAACAGGAUUAGAAACCCCAGUAGUCC